rnacentral:misc_RNA from 1 species
GGAAAAACGAGUGGACGGAUUAGAAUUCCUACCCUCCAGCGUUGUCAGGCGGAGGCUCGACUACUUAGCUACUGGUCCGCCUUUCUUUCACAGUGGUAGACUCUUCUUCUCGGUUUUAUAUGCCCUCACUUUUCAAAACCCAUCAUCUUAUUUUCCUUCUUAUAAAUAUACCAGGUUCUGUUCAAAGUUUUAUCAAAGAAAACUCUGACCAUCUUAUUUCAAUCAUUGUACGCACACGAAGAUGAGGAAGAGCCCUUCAAAACCUGCUCUUUCAUUCUCUUUGUUUUGUUUUCUUUGGUUGAAAGAGAUGGAUAUAAUGAUGGCUCAAAACACCACAAUCUCAGUGAAUAUAGGAGCGGUUCUUGACUUGGAGAAUCCCGCAGCCAAGAUGUGGUUGAGUUGCAUCAACAUGGCCCUCUCAGACUUUUACGUCACCCAUUCUCAGUUCCAGACAAGAUUGGUCCUCCACACGAGGGACUCCAUGGGAGAUGUUGUUGGUGCAGCUGCAGCAGCUCUAGACUUGAUAAAAAAUGAGCAAGUGCAAGCAAUCCUAGGGCCAAAUGCAUCUAUGCAGGCUAAUUUUGUUAUUGACCUUGGAGAAAAAGCUCAGGUACCCAUCAUAUCAUUUUCUGCAUCGAGUCCUUCUCUUACUUCCAACAGGAAACCAUACUUUUUCAGAGCUGCACAAAAUGACUCAACUCAAGUGAAUGCCAUUAGUGCAAUAGUUCAAGCCUUUGGAUGGAGAGCAGCAGUGCCUAUUUACGUAGACAACGAGUAUGGCAAGGGAGUCAUACCUUACUUAACUGACGCUUUGCAAGCUAUUGAUACCCGUAUCCCCUACCGGUGUGUCAUUUCUCCAGCUGCCACUGAUGAUGAAAUCGUGGAAGAGCUUUACAAGUUAAUGACCAUGCAAACUAGAGUUUUUAUUGUGCACAUGACACCUUUUCUUGGCUUUCAGUUUUUUAUCAAAGCAAGAGAGGUUGGAAUGAUGAGUGAAGGCUACGUUUGGAUCAUGACUGGUGUGAUGACUUCUUCGAUAACUCCUCAAGUCAUGGAUUCUAUGCAAGGAGUAUUGGGUAUUAGACCUUACGUUCCACAGACUCAAGAGCUGGAAAAUUUUAAGGUUCGAUGGAAAAGGAAAUUUCAGCAAGUUGAUGGUGAACUGAACAUUUAUGGAUUACAGGCCUAUGAUGCUGCCACUGCAUUGGCUAUGGCAAUUGAGAAAGCUGGUACUGCAAACAUUGGCUUCCAAAAGGCAAAUGUUUCCAGAAAUUCAACUGACCUCGCCGCUGUUGGGUUCUCUCGAAAUGGUCAAAGUCUUCUUGAAGAGUUAUCAAACACUCGUUUCAAAGGUCUUACAGGAGAUUUCCAUUUUGUUAACGGGCAGCUCCCAUCUUCGGCUUUCCAGAUAGUUAAUGUAAUUGGUGAGAAACCAAGAGAGCUUGGAUUUUGGACACCUGGAAAUGGACUUGUCAAAAAAUUGAACUCAUUAACAAACAAAAGUUCGUAUUCUACUUCUAAGUCCAAUCUAUCACCUGUUAUCUGGCCAGGGGAUUCAACUUCUCUUCCCAAGGGUUGGGAGAUUCCAACAAAUGGGAACAAACUGCGAAUCGGAGUCCCGGUGAAGGAUGGUUUCAGUGAAUUUGUAAAGGUAACAAGAGAUGCUAGUACUAACACCACAACAGUCAAGGGAUACUGCAUAGAUGUUUUUGAUGCUGUAGUAAAAGCAAUACCUUAUCCUUUGACUUAUGAAUACAUCCCCUUCGCCAAGCCUGAUGGUAGGAGUGCAGGAACUUACGAUGAUAUGGUCUAUCAUUUGUACUUGGAGGUAAGUAAAUCUUCUGAGUUCUAUUCUUUCUUUACUUCUAUUACAUAAAUUCCACUCAUGGUUAGACAUAAUUUUGAUACAAAUAUAACCCAGAAUUUUGAUGCUGUGGUGGGAGAUACCACUAUCAUCGCCAAUAGGUCACUGUAUGCGGACUUCACAUUGCCAUACACGGAGUCUGGGGUAUCAAUGAUAGUUCCAAUCAAAGACAACAACAGUAAAAAUGCGUGGGUUUUCUUAAAGCCUCUGACAUGGGAUCUUUGGGUGACAAGCUUCUGUUUCUUCGUUUUCAUUGGAUUUGUGGUCUGGGUUCUUGAGCACAGAGUAAAUGAAGACUUUAGAGGACCUCCUUCACAUCAAGUUGGCACUAGCUUCUGGUUUUCCUUCUCAACCAUGGUUUUUGCCCAUCGGGAAACCGUUGUCAGCAACCUGGCAAGAACAGUAGUAAUCAUAUGGUGUUUCGUAGUAUUGAUUCUCACACAAAGCUACACCGCCAGUUUAACCAGUCUUCUCACUGUCCAGCAGCUCCUGCCCACUGUAACUGAUGUAAAUCAGCUGAUAAAAAAUGGACUCUAUGUGGGCUACCUGGAGGGUUCUUUUGUUUUGGGACUCUUGAAAAGCUUGGGCUUUGAUGAAUCCAAGCUCAAGGUGUAUAGUUCUACCGAUGAAUGCGACGAACUUUUCUCCAAAGGAAGUGGAAAUGGUGGCAUUGCCGCUGCUUUUGACGAAGUGCCGUACAUGAAGCUGUUUCUUGCACAAUAUUGCUCCAAGUACACAAUGAUUGAACCCACAUUUAAGACGGCUGGAUUCGGAUUUGCCUUCCCUAAAGGAUCUCCCCUAGUACCUGACGUGUCAAGAGCAAUCUUGAAUGUAACAGGAGAUAAAAUGAAGGAAAUUGAGCAAGCAUGGUUUGGCAAACAAAGAAAUUGCCCAGAUCCAAGCACCUCUGUUUCUUCUAAUAGCCUUAGUCUCCAAAGUUUCUGGGGUUUAUUUUUAAUAGCUGGAAUAGUUUCUGUUUCAGCUCUCAUGAUAUUCACAGCCAUGUUUGUCUACGACCAGAGGCAAGCCUUGAUGCCCUCCGAUUCAAAAGCGUCAGUAUGGAGUAGAAUUCUUUAUUUGUUUAGAAUCUUCGAUCAAAAGGACUUGAAAUCACACACUUUCAGGAAGAGUGAACUGUGUGAGAUUCAGCUUAGACUUCCACCUAGUACGGGUGCUCCAAGUCCAUCGUCUUUUUAGUCCACAGAGAUUUCCCUGUAGAACAGAGGACUUCUUCGGCGGAAUAUGAUGAUCCGAGUUCCAAUGGGCAAGCACCUCCAAGAUAGUGCUAAAUAUUGAACUUGCCAACACAAAUCAAGAAAGACCAGUAAUUAUUGAAAGAACCCGUGAAAACUGAUGGCUUAAUUAUGACCCCAUCAUCUAGAUUUGUAUGUAGGAAUCAAGAGUAGAUGUUAUUUCAAUGGUGCUAAGAAGUUUUGCAUUUGCUUCAGUUCAAAUUUUUUUUUCUUGAAAAAAAAGAUUAUACUUGCUUGAAACUUGGAAAAGUUAAAUACAGUAACUUCUCAGUAAUAAAAAUCAUGGUUAUAAGUUGUGACUU